rnacentral:rRNA from 1 species
UACGAAGGGGGCUAGCGUUGUUCGGAAUUACUGGGCGUAAAGGGCGCGUAGGCGGUGUGUCAAGUCAGGCGUGAAAGCCCCGGGCUCAACCUGGGAACCGCGCUUGAGACUGGCACGCUCGAGUUCGGGAGAGGAUGGCGGAAUUCCCAGUGUAGAGGUGAAAUUCGUAGAUAUUGGGAAGAACACCGAUGGCGAAGGCAGCCAUCUGGACCGACACUGA